CCUCGGGAGGCAGCAGUGAGGAAUACUGGUCAAUGGGCGAGAGCCUGAACCAGCCAAGUCGCGUGAGGGAAGACGGUCCUAUGGAUUGUAAACCUCUUUUGCCGGGGAGCAAAAAGCGGUACGUGUACCGCAUCGAGAGUACCCGGAGCAAAAGCAUCGGCUAACUCCGUGCCAGCAGCCGCGGUAAUACGGGGGAGGCGAGGGUUAGCCGGCUUUAUUGGGUUAAAAGGGGGCGCAGGCGGCAAGUUAAGUCAGCGGUAAAAUUUCGGGGGUCAACCCCGACAAGCCGUUGAAACUGGCUGGCUAGAGAGGGCGAGAAGUAUGCGGAAUGCGUGGUGUAGCGGUGAAAUGCAUGGAUAUCACGCAGAACUCCGAUUGCGAAGGCAGCAUACCGGCGCCCAACUGACGCUCAGGCACGAAAGCGUGGGUAUCGAACAGGAUUAGAUACCCCUGUAGUC
rnacentral:rRNA from 1 species